GACGUAGGGUGCGAGCGUUAAUCGGAAUUACUGGGCGUAAAGCGUGCGCAGGCGGUUCGUUGUGUCGGCGGUGAAAGCCCCGGGCUCAACCUGGGAAUGGCCGUUGAAACUGGCGAACUGGAGUGUGGCAGAGGGGGGUGGAAUUCCGCGUGUAGCAGUGAAAUGCGUAGAGAUGCGGAGGAACACCGAUGGCGAAGGCAGCCCCCUGGGCUAACACUGACGCUCAGGCACGAAAGCGUGGGGAGCAAACAGG
rnacentral:rRNA from 1 species